GGACUGUAAUCAGUUAAAAGAAAAUUGUUUUUUAGUAUUUUCUAUAAUUUAUGAAAGAUGAAAACUUUAUCCCUAAGUAGCCAUGGUUGCUUUGAUUGAUUAUCUUGCUCUUAGUGCAGAUCUGUACUUGAUGCAACACUCUUAUAAGGGUUGUUUGGCUACAAGCAGGUUUUAGUAAAUCCUGUAAAUCUAGAUUUAGGGAAACUUGAUUGGAUUAAAGCCUGAGAACUGUUUAGAAUAGACGACCGUUAAAUCUUGUUAAUUCCUGAUAAACUAUUUGACUAUUUGCUUAAGGAUUUGAGAUCUGUGAGAGAUAGGAAUCCGUUAGAUCUUGUAAACUGGAUUCAUCAGAACGGUAAGAGGCUGCUUGGCUGCAAGUACGAUUUAUGCUAAGUAGGAUUUUGUAAAUCUUUAAUUAUUAUAUCAUAAGGCAGUUAAAUCCUAAAAAAAUUUCGGCAUAUGAUAUUUUCCAGGUUUUCAAUCAGUUAUAAAAUAACUUUGCUUUUUCGCUGUUUGUAUCUUUGUUUUAAAGAUGAAAGCCUUCACCUUAAACCGCCAUGGUUGCUUUGAAUGAUUAUCUUGUUGGGAUCUGUAGUUGAUGCAGCACUCUUAUAAGGGGUUGCUUGGUUUAAGUAAGAUUUAGUAAAUCCUAUAAAUUCAUAUUUAGUAAUUCUUUAGAUUAUUAACUUAGUUGCGUUUUUUUAGUAUACACACAAGUUUUGAGCUUCCUUCUUGCUAAUUAUGGUAUAAGAAAGUAUUCAAGUAAAAAAGAAGUUUCUUUUGGUAAUUUGUAGCUGCAAUUGUCAAAGAUGAUAGCUUGAUAUCGAAAUAGCCAUAGAUGUUUUGGUGUUUUUUUUUUCCUCAGAUGUGCCAUUGUUGUGACACUCUGAGGACACUCAAUUGCAUGUGACAGUAAAUUACUAUCUGUUUAGUGUAUAUGCACGUUUAGAAUUUAUUUCUCAUUAACUAUUAUUGUGAAGUGAGUGGCCAUCAGAGCCCUGCAUUGGGUACCCAUACCCACACCCACCCACUUACCCACCCAGACCAUAUGGGUAUGGGUAUGCUCAUGACCUCGUGAGCAGGUAUAGGUGGGUACUCAACAUUAAGGGAUAAACCAAUUUACAUUGCUAAUCACCGUAUGUCGUAUAUUAACGCAAUCCUCACUACGCAGUGCGCAACAUUGAAUCACGUUGUGACCAUGAAAAUUCUGAUAUGCGGCUAGAAAGAUUGUAGUUAGAACAAAGGGCAACAAGCCUCAAGGACAUCAGUCCAUGGCGGACUGCGUUCAAAACACAUGGAAAAUGAGUGGGUAUUAUAGGUGGAUAUGAUAUCCCAAAAGUCACCAUAGGUGGGCGUGGGUGGAUGAAGCCCGCCCGCACAGAGCAUGGGUACCCAAUGGUACCCAACCAAGACCCUAUGUAGGGCUUUGGUGGCCAUGCCAUGGAUCAGCUAUUUAAUUUUCUAAUUUGUUUUGAUAUACUUUUUUUUAUAAAUAAUUUAUUUUUGAGCUGCAACUGUGAGCUUUGAGUUUGUAGAUUUCUUGUUUACCAGUCUAUAAUAUGUCGUCACAUUUAGAAUUUUAGAGUUGACUGGCUUAUCUAUGAGCAUAUUAUAAUAAAUUGAAAACUCCAGAAAUUAAACUUGAUAUAAUAGGUAGCUUGCGAUGAUUUUCUGCAAUCAUAUUUUUCUGU